AUCAAUUCUCGGCCUUUUGGCUGAGAUCAAGUGUAGUAUCUGUUCUUAUCACUUCUAGGAUACAUGUGCAGAAUGUGCAGAUUUGUUACAUAGGUAUACAUGUGCCACGGUGAUUGGCUGCACCCAUC
rnacentral:snRNA from 2 species